UUGAACUAUGUGUACUUGCUGUAAAUAUGGACAAACAUUGAUAUGUGGGCUUUAGGUGGGUAUUUGAUAAGCAAAGAGUGCCCACAAAGGACCUACAUACAUUU
rfam:Daucus carota subsp. sativus cultivar DH1 chromosome 5, whole genome shotgun sequence.